UACGAAGGGUGCAAGCGUUAAUCGGAAUUAUUGGGCGUAAAGGGCUCGUAGGCGGUUUGUCGCGUCGGGAGUGAAAACCUCAUGCUUAACAUGUGGCUUGCUUUCGAUACGGGCAGACUAGAGGUAUGCAGGGGAGAACGGAAUUCCUGGUGUAGCGGUGAAAUGCGCAGAUAUCAGGAGGAACACCGGUGGCGAAGGCGGUUCUCUGGGCAUUACCUGACGCUGAGGAGCGAAAGUGUGGGGAGCGAACAGG
rnacentral:rRNA from 1 species